UGGAGAGACACUGCCAGCCGCUGCCAUGACCAGCAGCAUGUGAAGACGCCGGCUCAGAAAGUGAUACCAUAGGCAAAGGGUAGAUAUCAAGAAGACUGAGUAAAUGAAUGACAAGAUGGCCCAUCGAGCAAAGGAAAGCAAUGCAUCUCCCUAAAUGCACCUAACUCACUACCAGCGAGCAAGUUGGAUGCAGCGGCCUCAGUAUGUAAUACCAAGAAGAAACUUGUAGAUGUGAACACAUGCCUAGAGCGCAGGAUUUUUGUUCCUAGCCAAGAUGUAUGUGAUGUCUGCCUUCUGGAGCCCCUCCGCCCAGCACAGCACCCAUUCUAUGGAAAGCACGACUCAAAGGGUGCUUGGAGGAAUAGCGAGCAGACUCUCUAAUGGUUCCCAUUUGGGGAUGUUUAAACGUAAGUUAAUAAAGCGAGGCAUGGUGGCCCGCAUCUGUAAACUCAGCUACUCGGGCGACAAAGCAGGAGGGUGGCAAGCUCAAGUCUAGCCUGAGCUAUGGAAUACAUGUACGUGUAUAAAUCAAUUAACAGAGGCAGAGGGUAAAAUCUUUUGGAUAAUACUGAUUUCUUGCACCAGUGGGGUCAUACACAUAAGAAAGAAGUUAAGUAUGAAACAUGAUUUGAGGGGUGUUCCCAAGUCCUGAA